UCCCUGCCUUUUGAGCAUCUCUAAGGAGUGAUGUCACUUCUCUAGUUUGGUUUGUGUUGCAGUAAGCUUUGAGGAGCGAAGAAUAAACCGAAGAACCAGUUCUUACCCCAGCCAUACGCAUCUCGUCGAGUAGAUCAUGCGCCUGAUCCAACAUGCCUAGAGAAAUACAUGCGUUGAUAACAUUAAUCAGCAUCGAGUUAUCACUAGAAACAGGAGAGUCUUCAUGUUCUGCCUUCAACAGAAACUUUGCUAACUCCUUCAUCUUUCCACUUUCCAGGAAUGCCUUUGCUAAUUUCACAUAAAUCUCUUCCGUCGGCUGCAGAACACCGCGUUCCGAGGUAAUCAAUUCGACUUGUACAUGCAACUUAGCCAACAAUGCACCAAGAACAUCCUUUGCCUCAGCUUCAAGUUUCAAAAACUUCCUGUCUCUAGAGAACUCAUCAUAGGGAAUCAUACUGUGAAUAGAAACCACUCGAGUUUCGGGAUUAUCGUGUUCUUUAACCUCUGAUCCUUUUCCAGAUACUCUUUUGGUGUAUAAUCUACCAUCAUCUGCAGUAUCAAAUUCAAGAAUGGCGGCUCCAAGUGAGUUCCUUGCUACCUUUCCUCUUCUUAGCAUUUCCAAAACCAUUUUCGAAGCAGAUUCAAGAUCCCCGAAUUUUAAGUGACACAUAAGCAAGCAGUUAUAGAAUUGCCAAAACUGAGACUCAUUCAAGUUGCAAGCUUCAUCUAUAUGCCUUUGAAGCUUCCUUAGUUCCUCUCUCCGCCCAUUUCUUUCGUAUAUAUGAGCCAUUAUUACUAACAAGUUAGCAUCAGCUUUAACACCGAUCUUCGGUAUCAUAUCAAGAAGCUGUUCAGCUUUUCGGGUUGUCCCAAACAACAAACAACCCGCCAAAGCAACGUUCAACACCUGAGUAUUAGGCUUCAUCGCAAGCAAAGGUGCGUUGCUCUUCUUCCGUGGAUCAACUCUGUUAUUAUGAAACAAAUAACCAAUCUCAAGAACCAACUCAGCAGAAAGAUAACUUCCUGAUCCCGCAAGAGACAUAUGAGCCAAAACCGCAGACCAAGCACUCACAUGAGGAUACUCUUCUGUCUCAACUAGCUUCCUCAAGAUCGUUGAUGCAGGAACAGCCAUACCUGACUUGGCAAGAGCCAAGGAGAGAUAUAGAAGAGGUUCCUUCUCCAGCAAAUUCUGUUUACCCUCCUCAUAGGCUUGUUCCACUAAACUGUAACCCUUUUGUAGCCAGUUGGAAUCAAGACUCUCAGCAAAACAAACCACAACAUUGUUAACAACAGAUUUUCGCGGAAACCCUUCCAUUUGCAUAUGUUGUUCAAACAAUCUCCAAGCUUCAUCACAUCUAUGUUCAUCAACUGCAAUUUGAAUUUCUUCAUUGAGUUUAGCAGGAUCUCUGGCUUGAAGCAGUAUA